rnacentral:rRNA from 1 species
GUGGGGAAUCUUCCGCAAUGGACGAAAGUCUGACGGAGCAACGCCGCGUGAGUGAAGAAGGUUUUCGGAUCGUAAAGCUCUUUCGUUAGGGACGAACGUGCUCUUUGUGAAUAAUGAGGAGUAAUGACGGUACCUAAAUAAGAAGCCACGGCUAACUACGUGCCAGCAGCCGCGGUAAUACGUAGGUGGCAAGCGUUGUCCGGAAUUAUUGGGCGUAAAGCGCGCGCAGGCGGGAUAUCAAGUCUGUCUUAAAAGUGCGAGGCUCAACCUCGUGAGGGGACAGAAACUGGUAUUCUUGAGUGUCGGAGAGGAAAGUGGAAUUCCAAGUGUAGCGGUGAAAUGCGUAGAGAUUUGGAAGAACACCAGUGGCGAAGGCGACUUUCUGGACGAUGUCUGACGCUGAGGCGCGAAAGCUAGGGGAGCGAACGGGAUUAGAAGCCCGUGUAGUCC